UAAUUAGCGCCUGAGAACUGCUCUGUGGUUUAGGUAGUUUCAUGUUGUUGGGGCUCCACCUUUCUCUCUACAGCACGAAACUGCCUUAAUUACUUCAGUUGAUAUCAUCACCAGGUAUG
rnacentral:pre_miRNA from 12 species